AAAUCCAUUUUCCAAUCAUCUGUGAGUAAAACACUUUGCUGCCUAAUUCUAGGCAAGGCUCCUGGAGCAGAAGAAUCCUUUGUCUGCCAGAAUAUGGGUUUAAGGUGCUUUAGGAUUAAUUUUUUUGGCCAUUAACUGUAGUGAUAUGCAAAAGAUGUAAGCAUUUGUAAUUAAAAUCUUCAAAUUUAAACAAUUCCAGAGUCUGGAAUGUUUAAUUAUUUUUCAGUUGUUGAAAAUAUUCACAGUAUCUGAAACACUGGAAAUCUCUUAGGUGUUUGUCUGCCUUGCAUUUACUGCUAUUUUUCUUUUCUUUCCUUUUCUUUCCUUUUCUUUUUCCUGCAGAUUUACAGUUCUUUCAAAGUUUGACCCAAGAUUUGAGAGCUACAGGAAGGCAAGGCCAAGGAAAACAGCCCAAAUCUGUAUUUUUCAGAUCUUUGCAAGAUCCGGAAACGACUGGGACAGAACUCGUGCUGUGAUGUGAGGGAGCUCAAGCUUAAUGAUGAAACCUGG
ensembl:lncRNA